rnacentral:rRNA from 1 species
GGGUUGUGAGGUUAAGCGACUAAGCGUACACGGUGGAUGCCCUGGCAGUCAGAGGCGAUGAAGGGCGUGCUAAUCUGCGAUAAGCGCCGGUAAGGUGAUAUGAACCGUUAUAACCGGCGAUACCCGAAUGGGGAAACCCAGUGUGAUUCGUCACACUAUCAUUAACUGAAUCCAUAGGUUAAUGAGGCGAACCGGGGGAACUGAAACAUCUAAGUACCCCGAGGAAAAGAAAUCAACCGAGAUUCCCCCAGUAGCGGCGAGCGAACGGGGAGGAGCCCAGAGCCUGAAUCAGCAUGUGUGUUAGUGGAAGCGUCUGGAAAGGCGCGCGAUACAGGGUGACAGCCCCGUACACAAAAGCGCAUAUGCUGUGAGCUCGAUGAGUAGGGCGGGACACGUGGUAUCCUGUCUGAAUAUGGGGGGACCAUCCUCCAAGGCUAAAUACUCCUGACUGACCGAUAGUGAACCAGUACCGUGAGGGAAAGGCGAAAAGAACCCCGGCGAGGGGAGUGAAAAAGAACCUGAAACCGUGUACGUACAAGCAGUGGGAGCCCCACCACUAAGCCAGUGGUGAACUCCACAUACGCAUCCUUUGCUGAGGAUACGGUUAACGGAGCGAAAGCGACGUUCAACCUCAAAAGAAGCAGAGGGGGCUUAGUGGUGGGGUGACUGCGUACCUUUUGUAUAAUGGGUCAGCGACUUAUAUUCUGUAGCAAGGUUAACCGAAUAGGGGAGCCGGAGGGAAACCGAGUCUUAACCGGGCGUUAAGUUGCAGGGUAUAGACCCGA